GCAGCCUUUUGUUCUGGAGAUUCGCUGUACCCCUUUCAUUUAGCAUUUGAUGUUUUUCUUUGUUGUUGCUUUGUCUAACUGUUCAUCGGAAGGUCCAAAGUCGCUGCCGGCAAUGAAUUAGCGGUGCUGCUUGCGCGUGGAGUGCAAUUAGUCUCUUAACGUUCAGGACCCUGGAUUGAAUUGAACCCCAUUUGUAAUUAAGAUGAUGUCUCUGUAGCCUACUACUUUGUGAUGUGAGGGCCCAGUGUUUCUGUGUUUGUAGAGCGCAGAAUGAGUCCAGCCUUCUGUGCAUAAAGGAUGAACCAGACCCGAGCCCGCGGUCUCCCAGAGAGUGUACCGAGAGGAGAGUGGGUGCCCUGGCUAUAGUGCUGGAGCCAUGUUACUGCGUCGCCCAAAAUGAGCCAGUUGUGUCUACGAGCUGUUUCAGUCACAAGCUGUUUCAGUCACAACUCUGCGCGCCUGGCGGAACUGGGAGAUCAGCGGGUAUGGCUGGAAGUUGGAGGUUUUGUGGCUACCAGGAGGACCCAAGGCCUGUAUUAAGUGGAGCUGAACGUCAGAAAGCCACCGCUCAAGGCAGGUGUUUGGACUGUAUGGAAUAGGAGACCACAAACCUUCAGGGACGGAGGACUAGAAUCGUGGAUUCCCUUGAGAUGAGACCGAGGGACUUCCUUUGCUGGGGUCCAUGGGAGGACUAUGCUAGAGAAGUCUCAGGCGACUUCAUUUCAGCCUGGAGGCCCUCUAAGGCACCAAGAUGAAGGGGCUGGGCUUGGGGACUGUCGCGAACAACAGUUCCUGCGGCACCUGUUAUCUCAGAACCCCCCCCCCCCCCCCCCGCUGCAGGUUAUUUGCCUAUCUUCGGUUACUGUGAAUGCCAGUUGUCCAAAUGCAGCUCUCCGACACUGCUAUGCUCUAUGGAAAUGUCUAUGUGCUAUGUCUGCUGGAAUAAAUCACAUUCUCAGUC